AUCGAUCUCCAGGGGCGACCAGGAGGGUGAAAACCCUAGAACUCAACAAAUCUUGCAAAUUGAAGGUUCAAUUCAAGUCCAAAUCGAAUUCUAAACAUAGAUUCCUGAUCCUCAUCACAAGGGGAUUACAAGUUUGACGCGUAACAAGCUAGGUGGAAGCUUGAUGAGGGAGCGGGUCAAACGAAUCAAGAAGGAAAGGAAAAAGCAUAGUUCGGACACGAGGAAAUAAAUAGCACAUGGAUGCUUACAUCGCUAUCGCUUAGCAGCCACUAAGGAAAUGUAUUAAAACGAGUCAAUAUAUUGAUCCGAGCCAGGUAUGUAUAAUAAUACAACUCAUCAUGUAGAGCUUGGAGUUUUAUAAUAGUUAGACGAGGUUAAAAUAAGAUAUCCGGUUAUCUUUUAGGUAAACCGAAUAAGUUGAGUUAUGAUUAAGGUGUUUUAGAAACAUAUUGGUUUCUAAACAAGAAUAUGGUUAAAUGGUCGGAUUUG